UCAAAGGAAUGAUUCAUUACAAAGAUCAUGAUAUGUGAUGAAGAGGGAAGAAAACCUGCGUAUGCCACAUAUCUUGCUUUUUACAAAGUUUCCAGGAAAACAAAAGGAGUGAUCCCCAUUGGGAACCAGUGGGUUAGUGGUUGGUGAAAAAAAAAGAUUAAAAAAAAAUCAAGAAAUAUUCAAGAAAUAUUCAAGAAAUAUUCAAGAAAUAUUAAAAGAAAUAUUCAAGAACUAUUCAAAGGAAUGAUUCAUUACAAAGAUCAUUAUAUGUGAUGAAGGGGGAAGAAAACCUGCGUAUACCACAUAUCUUGCUUUGUACAAAGUUGCCAGGAAAACAAAAGGAGUGAUCCCCAUUGGGAACCAGUGGGUAAAGGGUUGGUGAAAAAAAAAAGAUUUAAAAAAAAAUAAAGAAAUAUUCAAGAAAUAUUCAAGAAAUAUGCAAAGAGGUAUUCGAAAAAUACUCAAAAACAUGUUAAAGAACUAUCCAAAGGAAAGUUUCAUUACAAAGAUUAUGAUACGUGAUAAAGAGGGAAGACAACCUGCGUAUGCCACAUAUCUUGCUUUUUACAAAGUUUCCAGGAAAACAAAAGGAUUGAUCCCCAUUGGGAACCAGUGGGUUAGUGGUUGGUGAAAAAAAAAGAUUUAAAAAAAAAUCAAGAAAUAUUCAAGAAAUAUUCAAGAAAUAUUAAAAGAAAUAUUAAAAAAUAUUCGAAAAAUAUUCAAAAACAUAUUCAAGAACUAUUCAAAGGAAUGAUUCAUUACAAAGAUCAUGAUAUGUGAUGAAGGGGGAAGAAAACCUGCGUAUACCACAUAUCUUGCUUUGUACAAAGUUGCCAGGAAAACAAAAGGAGUGAUCCCCAUUGGGAACCAGUGGGUUAGUGGUUGGUGAAAAAAAAAGAUUUAAAAAAAAAUCAAGAAAUAUUCAAGAAAUAUUCAAGAAAUAUUAUAAGGAAUGAUUCAAUACAAAGAUCAUUAUAUGUGAUGAAGGGGGAAGAAAACCUGCGUAUACCACAUAUCUUGCUUUGUACAAAGUUGCCAGGAAAACAAAAGGAGUGAUCCCCAUUGGGAACCAGUGGGUUAGUGGUUGGUGAAAAAAAAGAUUUAAAAAAAAAUCAAGAAAUAUUCAAGAAAUAUUCAAAAAAUAUUCAAAAGAAUCUUUGAAAAAUGUUUAAAAACAUAUUCAAGAACUAUUCAAAGGAAUGAUUCAUUACAAAGAUCAUGAUAUG
ensembl:lncRNA